AAAAAUGGCGGCGCCUACUUCCGGGAUAUGGACAUCGAAAUAGUUCCAAAUAUUGUCAUUUGGGCGUUGGACCUCACUCACAUUAUGGUGCGUCGAUUAGUUCCAGAGAUGCAGCUCCACGCUAGGCGUGAUGGACAUCUCAUCCAAGUUGCCUCAUUAGAUCCUCCACGUGAGCCCGGUCACAACUGGCCCUUGGCAGUCUGGUCCCUGGAGCACCUGACGCUGGCAAACUGGCCUCUUCAUAGCUGACCCCUGACUGACUGGCUCCUGGCACACUGAUCUCUGGUAAGGUGGCCUCUUGAUUGUCGGCCCCUGACAUACUGGCCCCUGGCAGUCUGCUGACAUCUGUCUCACUCUCUCUGUCUGUUAUGUCCCUUUCAUUCCCUUGGAACUCCACCUCAAUAUCUCCCUGAAUCUCUGUAACAAUAACAAGGCAAUCUUGCUGUUAUAUGUGUAUGCUGCCUUUACAUGUGCACCUAUUGUCAUUUAAGGGUACACUACACUCCUACUCUAAGGUACUCGAAAGGAGGGUCAGGCCGAUUGUCGAACCUCAGAUUGAGGAGGAACAAU